rnacentral:rRNA from 1 species
AACGCUAGCUACAGGCUUAACACAUGCAAGUCGAGGGGCAGCAUAAAAGUAGCAAUACUUUGGUGGCGACCGGCGCACGGGUGAGUAACGCGUAUGCAAUCUACCUAUCAGAGGGGGAUAACCCGGCGAAAGUCGGACUAAUACCGCAUAAAACAGGGGCACCGCAUGGUGAUAUUUGUUAAAGAUUAAUUGCUGAUAGAUGGGCAUGCGUUCCAUUAGGUAGUUGGUGAGGUAACGGCUCACCAAGCCGACGAUGGAUAGGGGAACUGAGAGGUUGGUCCCCCACACUGGUACUGAGACACGGACCAGACUCCUACGGGAGGCAGCAGUGAGGAAUAUUGGUCAAUGGGCGAGAGCCUGAACCAGCCAAGUCGCGUGAAGGAAGAAGGAUCUAUGGUUCGUAAACUUCUUUUGCAGGGGAAUAAAGUGGAGGACGUGUCCUCUUUUGUAUGUACCCUGAGAAUAAGGAUCGGCUAACUCCGUGCCAGCAGCCGCGGUAAUACGGAGGAUCCGAGCGUUAUCCGGAUUUAUUGGGCUUAAAGGGUGCGUAGGUGGUUUAAUAAGUCAGCGGUGAAAGUUUGCAGCUUAACUGCAAAAAUGCCGUUGAAACUGUUAGACUUGAGUGUAAAUGAGGUAGGCGGAAUGCGUGGUGUAGCGGUGAAAUGCUUAGAUAUCACGAAGAACUCCGAUUG